GGUCCUGUUGUGAUCUGUCUGGGGGCAGCUUUGGGAGUGUGUGUGGUUGUGAUCUUUGCUCAAGCCUUUAUAAUCUGUAAAAGGAGAAACAGUGACCACUGCAGUGGCAAAACAUGUCAGUCUGUCAUCCAAAGUUUCCCAGAGAUGCUGCAAGACCAGGACUCAGAUGAAGAGUUCAGUUUUGCACCUUUGAAUUUCUCUGACAAAAGACGACUGCUGAAGGAAAAUGUUUUCACCAGAGUGAGAUUCUUCCCUGUUUCUGACUACAGAGCAAUCCAGAAACACAAUAUUGCUGAAAAAUGAAGAAAAUAAAUCAAAUUCAUUUAAAAGUAUUCAUAAAAAUUGUCAGUGUUUUCUAGACAAUUUUGUGUAACUAUCUGGCAUUCAGUGAUGUUUAUGUACAUUUACUCUCAUGAUCAUAAAUAUAAAUCUGUCAAUGAAAAUUGUCACAUUAAAG